ACGAACGCUGGCGGCACGCUUAACACAUGCAAGUCGAACGAGAGAAGAGAAGCUUGCUUUUCUGAUCUAGUGGCGGACGGGUGAGUAACACGUGAGCAAUCUGCCUUUCAGAGGGGGAUACCGAUUGGAAACGAUCGUUAAUACCGCAUAACAUAAUUGAACCGCAUGAUUUGAUUAUCAAAGAUUUAUCGCUGAAAGAUGAGCUCGCGUCUGAUUAGCUAGUUGGUAAGGUAACGGCUUACCAAGGCGACGAUCAGUAGCCGGACUGAGAGGUUGAUCGGCCACAUUGGGACUGAGACACGGCCCAGACUCCUACGGGAGGCAGCAGUGGGGAAUAUUGCACAAUGGAGGAAACUCUGAUGCAGCGAUGCCGCGUGAGGGAAGAAGGUUUUAGGAUUGUAAACCUCUGUCUUCAGGGACGAAAAAAGACGGUACCUGAGGAGGAAGCUCCGGCUAACUACGUGCCAGCAGCCGCGGUAAUACGUAGGGAGCGAGCGUUGUCCGGAAUUACUGGGUGUAAAGGGAGCGUAGGCGGGAUCGCAAGUCAGAUGUGAAAACUAUGGGCUUAACCCAUAAACUGCAUUUGAAACUGUGGUUCUUGAGUGAAGUAGAGGUAAGCGGAAUUCCUAGUGUAGCGGUGAAAUGCGUAGAUAUUAGGAGGAACAUCAGUGGCGAAGGCGGCUUACUGGGCUUUAACUGACGCUGAGGCUCGAAAGCGUGGGGAGCAAACAGGAUUAGAUACCCUGGUAGUCCACGCCGUAAACGAUGAUUACUAGGUGUGGGGGGACUGACCCCUUCCGUGCCGCAGCAAACGCAAUAAGUAAUCCACCUGGGGAGUACGACCGCAAGGUUGAAACUCAAAGGAAUUGACGGGGGCCCGCACAAGCAGUGGAGUAUGUGGAUUAAUUCGAAGCAACGCGAAGAACCUUACCAGGUCUUGACAUCCGACUAACGAGAUAGAGAUAUGUCAGGUGCCCUUCGGGGAAAGUCGAGACAGGUGGUGCAUGGUUGUCGUCAGCUCGUGUCGUGAGAUGUUGGGUUAAGUCCCGCAACGAGCGCAACCCUUACUGUUAGUUGCUACGCAAGAGCACUCUAGCAGGACUGCCGUUGACAAAACGGAGGAAGGUGGGGAUGACGUCAAAUCAUCAUGCCCUUUAUGACUUGGGCUACACACGUACUACAAUGGCGUUAAACAAAGAGAAGCAAGACCGCGAGGUGGAGCAAAACUCAGAAACAACGUCCCAGUUCGGACUGCAGGCUGCAACUCGCCUGCACGAAGUCGGAAUUGCUAGUAAUCGCAGAUCAGCAUGCUGCGGUGAAUACGUUCCCGGGCCUUGUACACACCGCCCGUCACGCCAUGGGAGUCGGUAACACCCGAAGCCUGUAGUCUAACCGCAAGGAGGACGCAGUCGAAGGUGGGAUUGAUGACUGGGGUG
rnacentral:rRNA from 1 species